AUGAAGUCAUCCAUGGGAGCUUUUAUCAUGUUCUCGUGGCUGCAGCUGAAUUGGUUCAGCCGGGGAGAGAAUGUGGAGCAGCAUCCUUCUACCCUGAGUGUCCAGGAGGGAAGCAGCUCUGUUAUCAACUGCAGUUAUUCAGAUAGUGCCUCAAGUUACUUCCCCUGGUAUAAGCAAGAACUUGGGAAUGGUCCCCAGCUCCUUAUAGACAUUCGUUCAACCGUGGCCACAAAAGAAGACCAAAGACUCACUCUUUCAUUGAAUAAGACGGCCAAACGUUUCUCCCUGCACAUCAGAGACACCCAGCCUGAAGACUCAGCUGUGUACUUCUGCGCAGCAAGCACACAUUGUUUCCCAGGCACCUGCUGCCUGCACUCAAACCUGGGACUAGGGAAGCCCCUGUCCUCUGACACAGACCUUCGAGUAUAG